rnacentral:rRNA from 1 species
CAGUGAUCACUUUAACGGCCGCGGUACCCUGACCGUGCAAAGGUAGCAUAAUCAUUUGCCUUUUAAUUGGAGGCUAGUAUGAAUGGUCCGACGAGAGUAAAACUGUCUCAUAUAUACUCGAUAUAAAUUAACCUAAAGGUGCAAAGGCCUUUAUCUACUAGAAAGACGAGAAGACCCUGUUGAGCUUCAAUCUAGCAUCUUUUCUAUAUUUAUAAAUUUAUUUUGCUUGCUAAAGAUUUUAAUUGGGGCGAUUAAGGAACACCCAUCAGCUUCCUGAAGAAUUAAAUCGAUCCAGCAGUGCUGAUCAGCAAAAUGAGUUACCACAGGGAUAACAGCAUAAUUCUUCUUGAGAGUCCAUAUCGAAAGAAGAGAUUGUGACCUCGAUGUUGGACUAGGGUAACCAGAAGGUGCAGCCGCUUUCUUGUUUGGUCUGUUCGACCAGUAAUUCCCU